UUUCACCCAAGUUUGCAGCAGCUCCAGGCAGAAAAAGAGGCGCUGAGCAACACGCAGAGGGCAGAGGCAGAGCAGGAAAUUCAGGAGCUGCAGGAGCAGAAGAGGCGGCUGCAAGAAGAGCUGGAGGCUGCGGCACAGGUGGAGAAGGGGCUGCGGGAGCAGAGUGAGGAGCUCAGCCGGGAGCUGCAGGAGGUGCAGAGUCGACACGAUGCCCUUCAGGCUCAGCUCCAGGAGCGCUCCCAGGAGCAGGAGGAGCUGCGGCAGCGCUUGGAAGCAGCUGAGAGCACACAGGGGGACACAGAGCAGCGCCUGCGGCAGGCACAGGUCAGAUCUCCCACCCCAAA